GCUCUCCACAUAUACCCACUUUGUUUGUUCCUUUGUCAGAUCAUCUUAGUUCCAAUGCGUCUUUCUGUUACCUGUCUACCUGCCUGUUGGAUUGACUGCUGCUAUUUGGACUCUUGAUGCCUGAUACCCAGAUGUCACGACCAAUCCUUGCAAUUCAUCCGCUGUGCAUGUGUGAGGCUUCAGACCAGACGUGACAUUUGAAAAAGAGCCGUCCAUCGCAGCGGGACAAGAAGAGGCCGAGACAGAAAAUCAAAACGUGCAGUGAUUGAGCUCCUCCACCGCCGCAAGUCACGGUCUGACAAAAAUCCCAUCUGGCAGAUCAAAUUCCCAUAAUGCUCUGUGGUGGCAGACAGAGAGCGCCGGGAUCCGGUCUGUCAGGAGCCCGGUGGAUUACACCCAUCACAGUCCUGUCACCAUUUGCAGGACGGCUGAGCAGUGGGGGGGAAAGGUCAAACUCCUCGUUGCCUGCAUCUCUUUUGCUUCUUCUUCUUGUUGUUGCUGCAGCACCAGCACAGGCGGAGUUGUCAACAUGUGAGAGGACAAAUUGUCUUGAAGGACAAAUUCUGGAAAUAAUAAAGCUUUAAAGAGAUAGUUCAGGUGUAUUGAAGUGAGGUACUUAUUCAUAGUAGUGUAUCACUUACAGCAGAUGACGGUCGUUGUGCCCCUAGCUUCGAGAAAAAGACAUGAGUACAGAGACCAGAGCAAAGCAAUACAGUGCUGUGGAUGGGAACGGCAGAAAAACGUAUUUUAGCC